AUGUAAUGUAAUGCCUACAAUGUUAAUGCAUCAGAUCCCAUUAAAACUCCGCAGUUAAGUGCACUUGGGUUAGAGUAGCACUGGAUGGGUGACCUCCUGGGAAGUCCUAGUGUUUUGCAUG
rfam:Picea glauca, whole genome shotgun sequence.